ACGGAGGGUGCGAGCGUUGUCCGGAAUCACUGGGCGUAAAGGGCGCGUAGGUGGCCUGUGUAAGGCCGUGAUGAAAGUCCGGGGCUCAACCCCGGAUCUGCCGCGGCGACUGCAUGGCUAGGGCACCGUAGAGGCAGAUGGAAUUCCGGGUGUAGCGGUGGAAUGCGUAGAGAUCCGGAAGAACACCGGUGGCGAAGGCGGUCUGCUGGGCGGUGGGGCGCAAGCCCCAAUAGCCGACACUGAGGCGCGACAGCGUGGGGAGCAAACAGGA
rnacentral:rRNA from 1 species